GAUGAACGCUGGCGGCGUGCCUAAUACAUGCAAGUCGAGCGAACGGACGAGAAGCUUGCUUCUCUGAUGUUAGCGGCGGACGGGUGAGUAACACGUGGAUAACCUACCUAUAAGACUGGGAUAACUUCGGGAAACCGGAGCUAAUACCGGAUGAUAUUUUGAACCGCAUGGUUCAAAAGUGAAAGACGGUCUUGCUGUCACUGAUAGAUGGAUCCGCGCUGCAUUAGCUAGUUGGUAAGGUAACGGCUUACCAAGGCAACGAUGCAUAGCCGACCUGAGAGGGUGAUCGGCCACACUGGAACUGAGACACGGUCCAGACUCCUACGGGACGCAGCAGUAGGGAAUCUUCCGCAAUGGGCGAAAGCCUGACGGAGCAACGCCGCGUGAGUGAUGAAGGUCUUCGGAUCGUAAAACUCUGUUAUUAGGGAAGAACAUAUGUGUAAGUAACUGUGCACAUCUUGACGGUACCUAAUCAGAAAGCCACGGCUAACUACGUG
rnacentral:rRNA from 1 species